GGGAAAUAAAAUCAGUUGAUACUGAAAUUAGGGAACAUCCACCACCCUUCACCUGGCAGAAAACCUCCACAAGUACUACAUUUACAGAAAGUCUGUGUCAAAUAAUCUGUUUCAAACUUGGAGAAACUACAAGGAUUUUAUAGAUUUUUUGUGUGUGCGUGCACGCAUGCUAUCGCAAUAGCAAAAAAGUGACUCACAUGUAUGCAACUCUUAACCUAAACAAAUCCAAGUAAAAAAAGAUGCAUAUUAAACUUUUAAAUGUUUCUCUAGUAUUACAUGUAAACCACACCCAUGGAGAACAUGACUGAUCUCCUUAUUGGGUUUAUAAUUAUUCUUAUAGUGCUGCCUGAAAUUAAACUUCCUAACAAUCUUCCAAGAUAAGCUGAGAGCUCACUACAUGUAACAAGUUAUAGAAAUUAGAUAUGCUUCACAACUGUCAACAACGUAAAGGACUCUUGCUUAGCUUCCCCCACCCCAGAGAAUAUUCGACAUCAGACACAAGUUGUUGCAAGGUCUGCAAGGAUCGCUCACAACAGCAUUUAUGGCACACGCACAGAGGAGCAAUAAACUAUUAACAGGCCCGUGCACUGCACAGACGCAUGGGAAUUGCUGUGUCAACGUAGGACUUUUCAUUCACAGUGGUGCUGCCUCAAUGUCUGUGAGCGCAGCACCCAAUGGAUUCUAUACGGUCUCUCCUCUCUUAGACGGAGGCCGGUUCUUACUCACUAGCAAUCAUACGAAUGCAUAUAGUCUCGUAAAGACGAUGCUUACAGUGUCAGCUCAGCGCCACAAAACAAGACAUUGUCCAGUUGUUGCCUGGCUUCACAACACGCAACAGGCCUGUCAGUGAUGGCUAGCUUUAGCUAAUGUCAACUAACCAGCGGCUCGGUUGCCACCAACACGCCCAGGAACUGUCGUGCCCUAUCAGCACCAACAACAACAACCACAGCAGCCAAAAUGACAGCAGAGACAUGCCAAAACAGCAAAGUAUGUUGCCUGUACAACAAUUUCUAACUAGCUGUGGAACUACAGCAUUAGCCAGCAGUGAUAGUCUAACAUGGCUGACAGGAAAUGGCAGCUCAGAACAUUCCAGUGGAGCCGGCUCGGUUUUCCUAAGCUGGACAUGAGCAUGCCGAACAAAAAGACACAGCUUUGACUAUUGUUGAGGAUAACUUGCCGUGCACGCCUAUCAAAUAAUGCGCUAAGAACACAUGGCAACAUGGCAGGGGUUCCUUGAGAUGAUUACGAUGCAUUUGCAAAAGAAAAAUGGUUGGCGAAACCGGCGCACAAGGUCAAUCCCCGAUGUGUCAAACAACCACAGCGACAACUGUCACGCAACGUCAGCUAGCGAACUUGCUAACAUAACGGGAGGCCCUGGAGCCAGAGCUCUGUGUUGUCAUGGUGAGCACAGUAGUGAUUCCCAGUCCCACCCUUGCGGGAGCUGCAUCCAUGUUGAUCCAGAAUGACACCCAAGACAGGAUGACAGUCAGCAGGCUCGUUGUUUCAGUGAUGGAUCCAAAGCUGUUGAUGAAGAUGUUACAGGUCACGUUGACAGGAGAACCUGACAGGAGGACACAUCUUAGUAACAC